AUGCCGAUCGCGGGCCGGCGAGUGCUGGUGCGCUGCGUGCUCUCUGCACUGCCAGCCUUCGCCCUUGCAGUCCUGCGCGCCCUGAAGAAAUUCCACAAAGAGGUGGACAAAGCAAGACGCCGAUUUCUUUGGGCCCAGGAUGAGGAAAUCUCCGGCGGGAAGUGCAUGGUCAACUGGAAGCUUGUAACCUCGCUGGUGGAUCGCGGUGGGCUUGACAUUCCAGACAUGGAGCGUUUUGCGCGCGCACUCCGCCUGCGUUGGCUUUGGCUCGCAUGGAAGCACCCGGACAUGCCGUGGGUAGGCACGGGUUCGCCGUGCGAUGACAAGGAUAGGGAGUUGUUCGCCUCUGAAACCAGGGUCGCCAUAGGAAACGGAAGAAAGGCCACGUUCUGGAACCGCACCUGGCUCGGCGACCAACCGCUCAAGCUACGGUUCCCGCUGCUGUUCGCCAACUCAUCCAGGAAGAACCGAAUGGUGGCUGAAGCACUCCAGGGCGACAGAUGGAUCCUCGAUCUUUAG
rnacentral:rRNA from 1 species